rnacentral:rRNA from 1 species
GACGAACGCUGGCGGCGUGCUUAAUACAUGCAAGUCGAACGGAAAGGCCCUGCUUUUGUGGGGUGCUCGAGUGGCGAACGGGUGAGUAAUACGUGAGUAACCUGCCCUUGACUUUGGGAUAACUUCAGGAAACUGGGGCUAAUACCGGAUAGGAGCUCCUGCUGCAUGGUGGGGGUUGGAAAGUUUCGGCGGUUGGGGAUGGACUCGCGGCUUAUCAGCUUGUUGGUGGGGUAGUGGCUUACCAAGGCUUUGACGGGUAGCCGGCCUGAGAGGGUGACCGGCCACAUUGGGACUGAGAUACGGCCCAGACUCCUACGGGAGGCAGCAGUGGGGAAUAUUGCACAAUGGGCGGAAGCCUGAUGCAGCAACGCCGCGUGCGGGAUGACGGCCUUCGGGUUGUAAACCGCUUUCGCCUGUGACGAAGCGUGAGUGACGGUAAUGGGUAAAGAAGCACCGGCUAACUACGUG